CUGGGUAGAUAGCUAACAGUGGUUGAGGUGCCUGGGUAGAUAGCUGACAAUGGUUGAGGUGCAAGGGUAGAUAGCUGACAAUGGUUGAGGUGCCUGGGUAGAUAGCUGACAGUGGUUGAGGUGCCUGGGUAGAUAGCUGACAAUGGUUGAGAUGCAUGUGUAGAUAGCUGACAAUGGUUGAGGUGCAUGUGUAGAUAGCUGACAGUGGUUGAGGUGCCUGUGUAGAUAGCUGACAAUGGUUGAGGUGCAUGUGUAGAUAGCUGACAGUGGUUGAGGUGCCUGUGUAGAUAGCUGACAGUGGUUGAGGUGCCUGGGUAGAUAGCUGACAAUGGUUGAGAUGGCUGGGUAGAUAGCUGACAAUGGUUGAGAUGCCUGUGUAGAUAGCUGACAAUGGUUGAGAUGCCUGGGUAGAUAGCUGACAGUGGUUGAGGUGCCUGGGUAGAUAGCUGACAAUGUUUGAGAUGCCUGGGUAGAUAGCUG
rnacentral:sRNA from 1 species